rnacentral:rRNA from 1 species
CAGCCGCCGCGGGAAUACGUAGGUGGCAAGCGUUAUCCGGAAUUACUGGGUGUAAAUGGAGCGUAGACGGUUAAACAAGUCUGAAGUGAAAUGCCGGGGCUCAACCCCGGAGCUGCUUUGGGAACUGUAGAACUGGAGUGUCGGAGGGGUAAGCGGAAUUCCCAGUGUAGCGGUGAAAUGCGUAGAUAUUGGGAGGAACACCGGCGGCGAAGGCGGCUUACUGGACGACAACUGACGUUGAGGCUCGAAGGCGUGGGUAGCAAACAGGAUUAGAUACCCCAGUAGUCCCUGUCUCUUAUAC